GUGCUCACUUCAGCAGCACAUAUACUAAAAUUGUAAAAAUACAGAGACUAGCAUGACCCUUGUGUAAGAAUGGCACACAAAUUUAUGAAGCAUUCAGAUUUUUA
rnacentral:snRNA from 1 species